rnacentral:misc_RNA from 1 species
GCACAUGUAUGAUGAUAACAGUAAUUCAAGGUUUCAGUGCAGAUCCUUGAAUAUCAAUGAGGAUUUGGGUCAGAUACGUUAUAUUUUUUCAGAUAAAACAGGAACACUAACUGAAAAUAAGAUGGAAUUUAAAAGAGCAAGUGUGUGGGGAAAAAAUUAUGGAAGAGCCUUUUCUGCUGCAGGUGCAUCAUUAGACCCGGAUUUUGGAGAAUCGACAGCUGUGCCUUCAAAUCAAGGAAAAUUGAGGCUUAACGCAGAAAUUCCAACCGAUUCUGAACUUAUGGAAUUGUUACAUAUUGAGCUAGCCGGGGAAGAGAGGAUUGCUGCACAUGAGUUCUUUAUGACAUUGGCAGCAUGUAAUACCGUGAUUCCUAUUCUUACCCACAGUUCAUCUUCGGAUGAAGUGCAUGACACUGUUGGCACCAUUGAGUAUCAAGGUGAAUCUCCUGAUGAACAAGCA